GCCCUGCUUCUCUCCUGGGACAGGGUCACGGACCAAGUCCCCAAGUUCCUCCGCCUGGGAUCUGAGGACCUUCUUGAGGUGGCCCAGCCACAUGUGGCAUCACCCAGCUCCGACCCAACUGAGGGACCUACUCCUAGGACAGCACUCCAGCCUACAAUCCACACCCACAAAGGAAAGGUUCCCACCUUGGUAGGGUUCCAGCCCUACCACUGCAAUUUAAAAAGGACUCAAACUAACGAACGUUUAUUUUCAUCUGCCUCGGCAGGCACCAUGAGUUACUAGAAAGAAGUGAUGAAGGUAACGUCCUGGCAGUCCAGUGCUUAGGACUCCUGGCUUUCACUGCCAAGGGCGCAGGUUCCAUCCCUGGUUGGGAACUAAUACUAAGAUCCGCCAAGGCGCUACGAAGACUCCGCGAGUUGUUCUGCUCGGUCAAAGGGAAAAAAGAAAAGUUAUGCCACACUGUGUGCUACCUUCAUAUUAGGUGAGUUUGCAGCUCACCUGAUAAGGACGCUUCAUUCUGUCCCAUCUCACAGAAACUGAGUCCAGGAUGGGUGGUGAUCGAUCCCAGGCUAUGAAGAGAGACUGUGGGAGAGUCAGGGAUCCAACAAGAGACUCCUGCUUCUCCCCGCUGGCCAGGAUAGCUGGAGGUCACAAGUAAUUUCAGGAGGAGGAAACUGGCCCAGCGAGGCAGCCUCAGAUCACAGGCAAGUAAGCAGGGGGCCCAGACCCUGCACUCUACCCUCUGUACCAGAAACGGGAGCCUCUACGGGGCCCCUGCGGUCCCUCCACCGUCCAGGAAAUCCCUUCCAGCCGAGCGGUCCUGGACGUGCUGGGCCAGCCGCCGGGCCUCCUGAGAACACAAGAGCACAGCGGGCAGGUGUAUGAAGCGACGCCUCCGAAUCCUCGCUGGCGUGCUUGAAGACCUCCGAGCGGGAAGUGCUGUGGCUCCGGCGAUGCGGGGAGCUCCCGGGGAGGGACGGGGACAGGAGGAGCGCCUGGGCUCCGGCCACACCGGGCCAACACCAUCCCCGGCGGUGAGCGGGUGACGGGCCUCCCGAGGUGGGCAGGGUCCAUCCUAGGGAAGGAGGGCCCAUGGCCCCCGAAGAGGCUCGGGGUCGAGGAGCCCUCUGAGAGCCUGAGGGGCGGACAAACGCAGGAUCCUCUAAAUUAGCUCUUUCCACGGAACCCACCAGCUCCGAGUCGUUCCGCCCCGCGUGCCUGCGUCUGAGCGGGCGCCCCAGCGGACGCACCGCGCCGCUCGGGCCUCUCCGGCCGUGCGGAGCUCAGGCCCUGCCUCCCGGCGCCGGCUGGCAGUGCGGGAGCCUCUCGGGUCCGAGCGCGGCGGGAAGUGGCCCGAGACGCGGCCCUGGGACAUCCGUCCGCGGCGCGGUGGAGAUGGACUCUAAGAGCCCGAAGCCCUCUUCCGGCUCCCAUUGCGGCCGGGCGGGGCCCGAGGCAUCUGUCCCGGCGGGAAACAAACACCCGCGAACCACAGUUCCGGGUGCCUGCGCGCCUCACCUCUGCCAUCGGAGGAUUGAAAAAAAGAAAAUACCCAGCCAGUAUAAAGUCACUAUUCGGAGACGCGGCAGAUGCGGAGGGAGGGAAGACAAAAGAGAUAGCUUUUGUCCGAAAAGUGACUUGCCUUUAAAG
ensembl:lncRNA